rnacentral:rRNA from 1 species
GCGAACGCUGGCGGCAGGCUUAACACAUGCAAGUCGAGCGGGCAUCCUUGUGGUGUCAGCGGCAGACGGGUGAGUAACGCGUGGGAACGUGCCCUUCGGUUCGGAAUAACUCAGGGAAACUUGAGCUAAUACCGGAUACGUGCGAGAGCAGAAAGGUUUAUCUGCCGAAGGAUCGGCCCGCGUCUGAUUAGCUAGUUGGUGAGGUUAUGGCUCACCAAGGCGACGAUCAGUAGCUGGUCUGAGAGGAUGAUCAGCCACACUGGGACUGAGACACGGCCCAGACUCAUAGGGGAGGGAGGAGGGGGGAAUAUGGGAAAAGGGGGGAAACCCGGAGCCAGCCGGGCCGGGGGAGGGAUGGGGGCUUUAGGGUUGAAAAGCUUUUUUCCCCGGGACGAUAAUGAGGGUACGGGGGAAAAAAGCCCGGGUAAACUUGGU